GCUGUGCGGGCCUUUCUGCUGUUGCCGCCACCGCCAUUUUCCACGGAGGGUGCCCGGCGCGGUGCGUUCAUCCGCGGCCAUCCGACUGCAGCUCUGCUCCCCGUCCUGGGGGACUGAGCCGGGAAGAGCCGCCCCGAUAUGAGAGCGAAGUGGCGGAAGAAGCGUAUGCGCAGGCUGAAGCGCAAAAGGAGAAAGAUGAGGCAGAGGUCUAAGUAGACAUCUCUACAGUGCUACUGAAGCUGCAGAACAGAGCAUGGAAGGGUGGAGCUCGGGAAGCUGAAGUAUUCCAGACCAUACCUGCUGUUUGAUGCUACUCUUAGAAGACUCCUCGCCUGCCUUCGGGAGGUUCCAUCUUGAAGCCUAGCAGCUUUGAUCGAUAAAGGCUGGUGCUCCUGAGCUGUGCUGUCCUGGACUGGUUCUCUUCUUUGCAGCAUGAUGUAGUGACGGUAUAAAAUAAAACCCUUUUGGGGAAUUCA